rnacentral:rRNA from 1 species
GACGAACGCUGGCGGCGUGCUUAACACAUGCAAGUCGAGCGGAGCGGCGAACGGGUGAGUAACGCGCGAGUAACUGCCCCCCUCUCUGGGAUAACAGUUGGUAACGGCUGCUAAUACCGGAAAGAGGGGGCUGACUCGCGUUGUAUCAGCUUGUUGGUGGGGUAGUGGCCUACCAAGGCGACGUCUGGUAGCCGGCCUGAGAGGGCGACCGGCCACAUUGGGCUGAGAUGCGGCCCAAACUCCUACGGGGGGCAGCAGUGGGGAGUAUUGCACAAUAGGGGAAACCCUGAAGCAGCGACGCCGCGUGCGGGAUGACGGCCUUCAGGUUGUAACCCGCUUUCAGCCAUGACGCGGUAGUGGCAGAGGAAGCGCCGGCUAACUACGUGCCAGCAGCCGCGGUAAUAC